rnacentral:rRNA from 1 species
GAUGAACGCUGGCGGCAUGCCUAACACAUGCAAGUCGAUCGGUAAGGCUCUUCGGAGUACACGAGAGGCGGACGGCUGAGUAACGCGUAGGAACACACCCUGCAGUGAGGGAUAAGACACCGAAAGGUGUUCUAAUACCGCAUACGGUCUUCGGAUUAAAGCAUUUAUGCGCUGAAGGAGUGGCCUGCGUCAUAUUAGAUAGUUGGUGAGGUAAUGGCUCACCAAGUCGAUGAUGUGUAGCUGGUCUGAGAGGAUGAUCAGCCAGACUGGAACUGAGACACGGUCCAGACUCCUACGGGAGGCAGCAGUGAGGAAUAUUUCACAAUGAGCGAAAGCUUGAUGGAGCAAGGCCGCGUGCAGGAUGAAGGCCCUCGGGUUGUAAACUGCUUUUAUAAGAGAAGAUUAUGACGGGAACUUAUGAAUAAGGGACGGCGAACUACGU